rnacentral:tRNA from 1 species
GGCGUGUUCGUCUAUCGGUUAGGACAUAGCCCUCUCAAGGCUGAAAGAUGAGUUCGAUUCUCAUACACGCUGCCA